UACGUAGGGGGCAAGCGUUGUCCGGAUUUAUUGGGCGUAAAGAGCGUGUAGGCGGCCAUGUAGGUCCGUUGUGAAAACUCGAGGCUCAACCUCGAGACGCCGAUGGAAACCAUUUGGCUAGAGUCCGGAAGAGGAGAGUGGAAUUCCUGGUGUAGCGGUGAAAUGCGCAGAUAUCAGGAAGAACACCCGUGGCUAAGGCGGCUCUCUAGUACGGUACUGACGCUGAGACGCGAAAGCGUGGGGAGCGAACAGG
rnacentral:rRNA from 1 species